CCCCUCUCCCUCCCGCCGCUCCAUCCCCAGCCCAGAUCCCCAUUUCCCAAUCCCUCCGCUCCGACCUCCACUUCCAAUUCCCCACGCCCUCGAUCCCGAUUGAUGCAGCGGCGAUGGUGCGCGAGCUGCGCGUCGACUCCUUCUACGCGCGCCUCCGCUCCGCCGCCGCCGCGGCGGGCUCCUCCUCCCCGCUCCUGAUCCUCCCCUCCGCCGCCGACGCCGACUCGCUCUGCGCCGUCAGGGCCCUCGCCCACGUCCUCUCCGCCGACUCCAUCCGCUUCUCCAUCUACCCCGUCGCCUCCGCCGCCAGGGCCAGGGACCUCCUCGCCUCCUUCUCCGCCACCACCGCCCCGCUCUGCUGCGUCCUCGUCAACUGGGGCGCCCACCGCGACCUCCGCGGGAUCCUGCCCCACGCCGCCACCGCCUUCGUCGUCGACUCCCACCGCCCCGUCCACCUCCACAACCUCAGCGCCCACAACGACCGCGUGGUGGUGCUAUUCACCUCCGACGACGAGCACACCGCGGAUCUCUCCUACGACUUCGACCUUUCAUCCCUCGCCGACGCCUCCGACCUCGCCGCCGAGGGGGACGCCGACGACCAUCUCCGCGUCCCUGACGAGGACGACGAAGACUCCGAUGCCUCGGAAUCCGACUCCGAUGCCGAGGACGGCGGCAGGAGGAAGAGGCGCCGGCUCUCCGACGACGCGGAGGCGGAAGGCGGCGACCCCGUCAGGCUCUUCGCCAAGCUGCGCCGGGAGUACUACCGCCUCGGCACCUUCCACGGCAAGCCGUCGGGGUGCCUCAUGUACGACCUCGCCCACGCGCUGCGCAAGAACACCAACGAGCUCCUCUGGCUCGCCUGCGUCGCCCUCACCGACCAGUUCGUCCACGACCGCAUCACCAACGAGCGCUACCAGGCAGCCGUCAUGGAGCUCGAGCAGCACAUCAACGGCUCGGGCAACCUCGACCCCUCUGGUGUUGGCUCCGUCGUCACGCUCAAGGACGGCACCAAGAUCCGGGCGCCGGAGACCUCCCGCAUUGCCUAUGAGGACGAGCCCAGGCUCAUGCUGCUGCGGGAGUGGAGCUUGUUCGACUCCAUGCUCUGCUCCUCCUAUGUCGCCACUAAGCUCAAGACGUGGAGCGACAAUGGUCUCAAGAAGCUCAAGCUGCUAUUGGCGAGGAUGGGGUUCCCGCUUGCCGACUGCCAGAAGAACUUCCAGUACAUGAGCAUGGAGGUCAAGCGCAAGAUGCGGGAUGAGUUUGACCGCUUCCUGCCCGAGUAUGGGCUCACUGAAUUCUACUACCGGAGCUUCUUGAGAGUGCACGGGUACAGGUCCAAGGUUUCUGCUGCAGAUGUUGUAUAUGGUGUCACAGCUUUGCUUGAAUCGCUGAAUGCCGAGUCCAAGGACUCAAAGGAGUCUUCAGCUGCUGAGCAGUUUUGGGUUGCUUACUCUGCAUUGUCACUGAGCAAUGUUGACCAGUUGCGGAAAGGGAUGCAGUCUGCAAUUGAAAUACAGAGGGCAAUAUUGAGGCAAGGAAGCUCGGCAAUUACUAAGACAGGGUUUAUACGGAGCGCCAAGAAGUUCCGGUGGGUGAAGCUUGAUGACCCUGUGGACACUAAUAAGCUUUGCCACCCUCAGGCACUUACCAAGUUCUGCUUCUUUCUCAUGGAUGCACUGAAGGAAAGGGGUGCGAGGAUGAAGCCACUAAUCUGUGCUUGCUUGGCAAAGGAACCUGAGAAGGUGCUGGUUGUCGGGGUAUAUGGGAAGCCAAGGCUUGGGGCUGUUCAGGGUAAUGCGUUUGGCAAUGCAUUCAGAUCAGCAGCAGAGGAGAUUGGUGCAGACUAUUUCCAUGACAUGUUUGAGUCAUCAUGGAUUGUUCUGGAUGUUGUUGCUGUCAGUUCUUUCAUGAUUCGGUUGACGGAGAAGCUAUGAUCAGAUGGCACGGGCUUGUAAAACGUGGGCAAUUCUUUCAGGUCCCAAGAUGGGAGAUUCAGGCAAGAUUCUCCCUGAAUAAAGGUGCUUGAGGCCAGGUGGUAAAUGGCAUGUAUUUUCCUAAAUACCAGUCCACCUGCCAUUUCACUAACGUAGUGAAAGCAGCCUGACAAGCUGCUCAGUUAUCAUGACUUUAGAAACAGAGAAGAGGACUUUCCUCAACCCCCCCUUAGGAAUGAUAGAUCUACAGAUUCAGAUGCAAACCUGAUUCUAACAUAGAGGGGGAAAGACGGUGGUGGUCAAUGCUGUUGGUUGAGUGGGGAUAAGCACUGGCGCCCCCUGGUUUCGGACAUGGGCAUCACUGGCUAUGCAACUGCCUCCGGCUUUCACUACCUUGUUACCAAUCCACAUGUGUGGCACUCCACCAUCACCGUGGAGUGGUCUAUUGCACCUGUGCUGUCUGUUUUUCUGCAGAUAGUGCUGCCUGCCGAUCUUUAUUUUGAAUAUGCAGAUGGCACUAAGUUGUGCUGUGCCAAAUGGCUUCAUCAGCUCUUUUUUCUUCCGUUGGAGCUUGAAUUGACACAAGACCUGGAUAACAUAGCAGGCAAUGUGGCAUGUUUCAUAACCUCUUGAAUACCAUAUCAAGCCUAUUAAAUGUGCUCUAGUGGGGAAAGCCUGCAUUUAAUAAUUAGUUAUGGGAUGGUCUCAUAUAUAUGCUUAUGAUUUGGGACAAAUAAGCAUGGUUAUGAUGAUGUAGUUGUACUGCUUUGUUGCCUACAUACACACCAAUGAAUCACAUAUAUUGAUUCUCAUACAGAAUGAUCCUGUAUUGGACAGCUAUACAAGUGGAAGAUAUGCGGUGAACAAUUUAUGCCGAUGAAGUUUGCUAGUGUAGCCCGGAUAAUUAGAAAGCUCGAACUUAUCUACAAUUCUAUUUUAUAUAAGUGUUCUGUACUAAAUGUGUAAAUACAAUUCUUAAGCAAGAAAUAUUUGUUUGCAUAUUCACUAGUAAAGGUUAGUAGCCUCAAAAUACAGGCAAUUCUAUCAUAGCUAAUAAAGCUUUCAUUUAUUUUCUGAAUUCUGAUAAUACCAACCUUCGUAUUGUCUACAGUUCUCCUGGUCACUUUGUGGUCCCUCUUAGAUAUACUAUCUAGAAACUAUUCUUCUGAAAUUGAAAAAAAAAUCUACCAAGAGCUUGGUAUUCGUAAUGUUCUCAUGACAAAAUAGUGGUUGUUACAGGACUUGUUAGUCUUAAUUGAAGGCAAUGGCUGUGGUGGUCUUACUUAACAACGAAAGAA